rnacentral:rRNA from 1 species
UACCAGCACCCCGAGUGGUCGGGACGUUUAUUGGGCCUAAAGCAUCCGUAGCCGGUUCUACAAGUCUUCCGUUAAAUCCAACUGCUUAACAGGUGGGCUGCGGAAGAUACUAUAGAGCUAGGAGGCGGGAGAGGCAAGCGGUACUCGAUGGGUAGGGGUAAAAUCCGUUGAUCCAUUGAAGACCACCAGUGGCGAAGGCGGCUUGCCAGAACGCGCUCGACGGUGAGGGAUGAAAGCUGGGGG